rnacentral:ncRNA from 1 species
AAAAUGAAGAGGAUUCAGAAUAGUAAUGUAAACGCGUACUUUAAGAGAGCUGAUGGUGCUGAGAAUCAGUAGUAACCUUACAUGAAUGGGCUGAUGAUAAAAACGAAAUAAUCUUUGCAUUGAUUGUGUAAAUGUUUAUAUAGUGGUAAAGAGAUGAUAGACUAAGUCUAUUAAUUGAGGUGGUACCGCGUAUCGAUAACGCCCUCACG